ensembl:antisense
GAGAGCAAGCUAGUAAUCAGCACUCUCUCGUGGUUCCUGCCGCUGCUCCUUCGUGAGUUCUCACCCAACUUCCUUCAGUGGUCAACUGUGAUCAGGAUGUCAAUUCCUGCAGGCUCCGAUAUCAUCCUUCAGGGAACUCAACAUCACCUUCUGCUCUGAGGCUGGAACGACCCCACCACACACACACAAACCAGUCAACCCGAUUGCAGCGGCCUCAGCUAUUCACUACCCAGGCCCUCCUCCCUGGCAGUUCCUCCUCCCACCGCAAGGGUGCGCUGUCCCCCUGCGCUGCAGCUCCUCACGCACCAUUUGUCCUCAGCAGGUCCUGGUGGCUGAGCAGCACCCUGAUCUUGCUGGAGGCUGCAGAGAGAUGCAAGCAUGAAUUGUGAAGCCUCCGCCUGCUCAGAGUGUGUGAGGACACGUACGUUGUUAUCCACGGAGGCACAGCUCUGAGAUGCCAAGCAUGCACCUUGAUGCCAAGUUCUGGGCAUUGAACUCAGGUUCUCAUGCUUGUGAGGCCAGCAGCUGACCAACUGAGCUUCACUCUGGUCCAUAUACAGCAAGCUUCUUCAAAGACCUCAUUUUCUCCACCAGUCUCAUCCAUUGGCCAGAGCAUCUGACUUCAGGUCCUGCCUGCAGCAAUUACAGAUGAGGUAUUCAAAUGGAUUCCUAAUCGUUUCUGCAUUUAUUAUUGGAAUCCAUCUGGAAAGAAAAUCAAGUGGACUUUUGAAGGGUUAU